GUGAACGCUGGCUGUGUGGAUGAGGCAUGCAAGUCGAAUGGUUUAGAACCAUGGCAGACGAGGUAGGAACACGUAGGUACAUACCCAAAAGUCGGGCAUAACCCACCGAAAGGUGGAAUAAUUCUCGAUAGUCUCGAAAGAGUAAAGAUUUAUCGCUUUUGGAAUGGCCUGCGGUCUAUCAGCUUGUUGGUAAGGUAACGGCUUACCAAGGCUACGACGGAUAGGGGAGGUGAGAGCCUGACCCCCACCGAUGGAACUGCGACACGGUCCAUACUCCUACGGGAGGCUGCAGUCGAGAAUCUUCCGCAAUGGGCGAAAGCCUGACGGAGCGACACAGCGUGGUGGAUGAAGUCCUAUAGGACGUAAACACCUUUUAUGAAGGAAGAAGUAUAUUGGCAUUACUUCAUGAAUAAGGGGCUCCCAAUUCUGU
rnacentral:rRNA from 1 species